rnacentral:lncRNA from 1 species
GCAGGCUCCACCUCCUGGGCUCAAGUGUUCCUCCUGCCUCAGCCUCCCAAGUAGGUGGUACUGAAUAUAAGUUCAGCUAAUUGUAGAAUUCUAGGCUAACAGUUAACUUCUGUCAGCCCUUUGGAAAUAUACUAACGUCUUCAGACUUUCAUUGUUGCUAUUGAAAAGUGUAUUCAUUUUUUUAUGGCUGUCACAAAUUAUCAUGACUUUACUGGAUUAAAAGAGCACAAAUUUAUUGUUUCAAAGUUCUGUAGGUCAAAAGUCAGGAAUGGAUCUCACUGGGCUAAAAUCAAGGUGUUGGUCAGCUGGCUUUAUUCCUUUCUGAGGGCUCUUGAGUUUGUUUCCUUGCUCAUGCAGAUGUUGGAAGAAUUCAGUUCCAUGCAGUUAAAGGACUGAGGGUCUUGCUCUGUCACCCAGGCUGGAGUGCAGUUGCUCUAUCAUGACUCACUGCAGCCUCAAAUGCUUGGACUCGAGCAAUCCUUCAGGCUAAAAGGUUUAUGAAGACAUCUGUCUUGUCCGGCAUCAUAUCCUGGGACCCACAAAGUGACUGAAAUAUAUCUGGUGGUCAAUAUAUAUUUGCAUCUUUCAAUUUAGACCGGCCACAUUUCAAGUGCUCAAUAGCCGCAUGUAGCUAGCGGCUACAAUAUUGAACAGUGCAGCUCUGGAAAUUUAAAAAGAGGUUCCAGUGGAAAUCAUAAUGGCAGUUCAGAGAAGGGAAAAUGCUCUACGACCUGGAACAGGAAAAGCUAUAUGGAGGAGUUGAGACUAGAGCCUGGUCAUGAAGGAUGCAGGAGGUUUUUACAUAUUUAGAAGAAGAGGGUGAUAACAAAGUGGUGAGACUGAGAACAGCAUUCAAAGAACAGUAAAGAAGACCGAGCUUAUGAGUGAGUGAAGCCCCCUGGAGAGCGUUUGAAGAAAGAGGAAAUGCCACUAGAGCCUGUGAGGGGGGUGUAUUAUUGAAUUUGUGAUAAACAUCCUUGACCUAAUGAUAGGGGUAUAUCUGGUUAAAAGUCAGAAAAUCUGGGAAAAAUACUUUGUUAUGAUUUUCCAUCUAAUAGGUAGGAAUUAAAGAUUAUGAAUUUUUAGAAGACUGAUGAUGAAAAUGCUUAAAGAUACAGUUGCCCACACUUGUUGCUAUAUUUAGGCCUCGAAAUGAUUUCUUUGUUUGUUUUUUUGUUUGUUUUUUUGUUUUUUGAGUUGGAGUCUCACUCUGUCCC